UGGGGAAUUUUGGACAAUGGGCGAAAGCCUGAUCCAGCCAUGCCGCGUGAGUGAAGAAGGCCUUCGGGUUGUAAAGCUCUUUCGGACAGAAAGAAAUCUUCCGGGCUAAUACCUCGGAAGGAUGACGGUACUGUAAGAAGAAGCACCGGCUAACUACGUGCCAGCAGCCGCGGUAAUACGUAGGGUGCGAGCGUUAAUCGGAAUUACUGGGCGUAAAGCGUGCGCAGGCGGUUACAUAAGACAGAUGUGAAAUCCCCGGGCUUAACCUGGGAACUGCGUUUGUGACUGUGUGACUGGAGUACGGCAGAGGGGGGUGGAAUUCCUGGUGUAGCAGUGAAAUGCGUAGAUAUCAGGAGGAACACCGAUGGCGAAGGCAGCCCCCUGGGCCUGUACUGACGCUCAUGCACGAAAGCGUGGGGAGCAAACAGG
rnacentral:rRNA from 1 species